GAGCUAAUGACUAGCUUAUUGUUAAAAUGCAAGAGGUCUGCGAGGUGUCAUCAAUAGCAGCCGAACAAUUCCCGUUGGAAUUACCGCAUGCGCCGUAUAUAGCGCACUCUAUUUCCGAGUACAAGGCCUUUGGGAGCUGCCAAAUGAAUUUCAAACGGCCGUGACCAGGCUACUGCACCUGUAAUUACCACACCUAGCGCGUAUACAAACACGCGAAACGACGGUGAACGUGGCACGACCACUGCUUCGUUCGAUAUCGAUACACGGUAAAUACACAUAUCGCCAUACUUUCGUUUGUUUUCCAUUUUCGGAUCGGAUCAGUAUCGAGGAAUUCAAUUACCAUAUCUCUCGUUUUCUUUAGAACUAGCUGCC
rnacentral:misc_RNA from 1 species